GCUGGGCGUGGUAGUGGGCGCCUGUAAUCCCAACUACUCGGGAGGCUGAGGUAGGAGAAUUGCUUGAACCCAGGAGAUGGAGGUUGCAGUGAGCUGAGAUCAUGCCACUGCACUCCAGCCUGGGUGACAGAGCAAGACUCUGACUCAA
rnacentral:SRP_RNA from 2 species